CUUGAAACACGGACCAAGGAGUUUAUCGUGUACGCAAGUCAUUGGGUGAGUAAAACCCAAAGGCGAAAUGAAAGUAAAGAGCUGAGUAUUGAGAAAAAAAUUUAUUUUUUUCUUAUACCUCUCUUAAGGGAGGAUGGAAAUCGCAUUUAUAAUUAAUUUUAGUUUACUCUAUUAGUAAUUGUAUAUGUUGGUUUCCCGCACUCCCGGGGCGCUUGUGACACGCUUUGCGUGUCGAUGCGCACCUAGAGCGUACACGCUGAUACCCGAAAGAUGGUGAACUAUGCCUGGCCAGGACGAAGCCAGGGGAAACCCUGGUGGAGGUCCGCAGCGAUUCUGACGUGCAAAUCGAUCGUCGGAGCUGGGUAUAGGGGCGAAAGACCAAUCGAACCAUCUAGUAGCUGGUUCCCUCUGAAGUUUCCCUCAGGAUA
rnacentral:rRNA from 1 species